rnacentral:lncRNA from 12 species
AUGGAUGAGGACCCCAGAGCUGCAGAUGCUGUAAAAACAUAGGAAAAAGUGAAGUGUCUCGCUCUACAGAUCACAUAAAAUGCAGAAGACAGCACAGUAAGGAGCAAAGAUGGACUUUGCAUUGCCAGUGUUGACCAGAUCCACCCUUCAGUGAUGAACAUGUUUGUGCAGCUCAGAAAUGCAAAGUUGGCCAAGGUCCCUGGAGGUCAUCCCUGGU